GGAACCUGGCGGCGUGCCUAAUCAUGCAAGUCGAGCGGACAGAUGGGAGCUUGCUCCCUGAUGUCAGCGGCGGACGGGUGAGUAACACGUGGGUAACCUGCCUGUAAGACUGGGAUAACUCCGGGAACCGGGGCUAAUACCGGAUGCUUGAUUGAACCGCAUGGUUCAAUUAUAAAAGGUGGCUUUUACCUACCACUUACAGAUGGACCCGCGGCGCAUUACCUAUUUGGUGAGGUAACGGCUCACCAAGGCAACAAUGCGUACCCAACCUGAAAGGGUGAUCGGCCACACUGGGACUGAAACACGGCCCAAACUCCUACGGGAGGCAGCAUUAGGGAAUCUUCCGCAAUGGACAAAAGUCUGACGAACCACCGCCCCGUGAGUGAUGAAGGUUUUCGAAUCGUAAAACUCUGUUGUUAGGGAAAAACAAGUCCCGUUCGAAUAGGGCGGUCCCUUGACGGUCCCUAACCAAAAAGCCACGGCUAACUACUUGCCACCACCCGCGGUAAUACUUAGGUGGCAAGCGUUGUCCGGAAUUAUGGGGCGUAAAGCGCGCGCAGGCGGUUUCUUAAGUCUGAUGUGAAA
rnacentral:rRNA from 1 species